rnacentral:lncRNA from 1 species
AAACCGAACCACAAUAAUUUUAAUGUUUAAAUUAAAUAAUUUUUUAUCUCAUAAGUAAUGAAAACUGCAUCACCAACACCCUACUUAAUAUUACAACAAAGCUUACUUAAAAGUUAAAACAUACAUUUAUGUUGCUUUAGAAAGAUUCUGCAUUUACCAAUACUUAAACACAUGCAUACUCAACAAGAAAAUGAAAGACCAGAAAUUAAAAACUUGACACGUGGGUGGCGUGGACCAAAACUGAAAGAAUCAUAUCUUCCACCUAAACUAAAUUAAUCUGAACAAAGAAAAUAAAAAAGCAGAAUUAUAGUUAUUUGAUAUUUUUAAGGAACUGUAACACACUUCCAUUGGCCAAAUGACACGUAAGCAUUCUGUAGGACCAAAAUGACGUCACAUGACGCGUGUCUCGAUAGCACAUUUUCACACCAAACUACACUCUCUACAAACUUGAGAUGAGAUACACUAGAUUCUCUAAACUAACUACCUAACUCUAUAUAUAGCUUUAUACCUAUUACAAAUUCUUGAUUUAUACUAUCAAUAAAACAUAAAUGUAAAAAAGUAAAUAAAAUAAAUUAAAGGUUCUAUAAAAUUAUAUAAUUAAUUAAAUACAUAAUUAAUUAGCAAAAAAUAACUAAAUAAAUUAAUAUAAUUAAUUUAUUAAUUUAACUAAUU